rnacentral:rRNA from 1 species
UGCAGCAGGGCGCGAAACCUUUACACUGCACGACAGUGCGAUAAGGGGAUCCCAAGUGCGUAGGCAUAGAGCCUACGCUUUUGUCCACCCUAGGGAGGUGGACGAAUAAGGGCUGGGCAAGACCGGUGCCAGCCGCCGCGGUAAUACCGGCAGCCCGAGUGAUGGCCGAUCUUAUUGGGCCUAAAGCGUCCGUAGCUGGCCGCACAAGUCCAUCGGGAAAUCCACCCGCUCAACGGGUGGCCGUCCGGUGGAAACUGUGUGGCUUGGGACCGGAAGGCGCGACGGGUACGUCCGGGGUAGGAGUGAAAUCCCGUAAUCCUGGACGGACCGCCGAUGGCGAAAGCACGUCGCGAGAACGGAUCCGACAGUGAGGGACGAAAGCCAGGGUCUCGAACCGGAUUAGAUACCCGGGUAGUCCUGGCCGUAAACAAUGCCUGCUAGGUGUGGCUCCCACUACGAGUGGGUG